rnacentral:lncRNA from 1 species
UCAUAACACCAUGCUAAAUAAAAAGCUUUAAUCAUCCAUUCGCCAGGUCUGAUGUUCGUGACUUUAUUAUUUUGACAAAGUGGACACGUUUCAUAACAAUCUAGAGAAGAUCUAGGAUAGAGUCCAUAACAAGCGACAAGAAACACUCAAAUAAUAGAAAUGUUUUGUGAAAAUUGUAAAUGGAUGCUUAACAUUCACAGGUUGAGUUCGUAAAGGAGUGGACUGUGCGUGUGUAUAUGGUGCCAUACAGACUUGUCGAUUACUUCAGAGCUCUCUACAUGGGCGUACCUAUAGAAAGUAGAGCUAGUCAGCUCUCUACAGAUUGGCGUACCUAUAGAAAAAGCUAGUCGGCUCUCUACAGAUUGGCGUACCUAUAGAAAGUAGAGCUAGUCAGCUCUACAGAUUGGCGUACCUAUAGCAAGUAGAGCUAGUCGGCUCUACAGAUUGGCGUACCUAUAGAAAGUAGAGCUAGUCGGCUCUCUACAAUUGGCGUACCUAUAGAAAGUAGAGCGAGUCAGCUCUACAGAUUGGCGUACAUAGCAAGUAGAGCUAGUCGGCUCUACAGAUUGGCGUACCUAUAGAAAGUAGAGCUAGUCGGCUCUCUACAGAUUGGCGUACCUAUAGAAAGUAGAGCUCGUCAGCUCUACAGAUUGGCGUACCUAUAGAAAGUAGAGCUAGUCAGCUCUACAGAUUGGGCGAUACCUAUAGAAAGUAGAGCUAGUCAGCUCUACAGAUUGGCGUACCUAUAGAAAGUAGAGCUAGUCAGCUCUCUACAGAUUGGCGUACCUAUAGAAAGUGGAGCUAGUCAUUUGACACUGGGGGGGUUGUUCAUCUGGCCCGGGUUACCCCGGUGGGAGGAGUUUGAAUUGGGUGAAAAGUGACUGCCCCCCGGGCUUGAGCCAGGUACCCCGCUAUGGCCAAUGGCAAAGUCAGCUCAAAACAAAAGUGACGUAAUUAAGCACAUGGAGUGAUGCGUAGGAUUAUGUGAUUGUUUUCUUAAUGCUUUAUCAGAAUUAAAACUAGUUCAUUUUCUGGCAAAGAGAUGUAUGUUUCUGGACGAUGCACCAUGCUGCCUUGUUGACAACAUGACCGAGCUGCGCAGAUUACUGUUAGAUCUGAGAAGGGUGCUCCUCCCUCCCAGCUUUCGCCCGAUGAU